UUUUAUUAUUACGGAAUAACUUUUCAAAUACCUACGACGAUCCUCCCCAAGUAGUCAAAUAAGCGACACCCGAAUAUGGGUUACGCGGCCCGACCAGAAACUUUGCUGACACCCGAAUACGGGUGUCGUGUUAAAAAAUAUCAUUUUAUAUC